rnacentral:lncRNA from 1 species
GUUUAAUUACGAAGUCCCCAAACCCUUAGCUGCAUCUUGACAGCAAAUACAGCAAAUGAGUUUAUUCAUGUGAUUGCUGUAAGAAUUCCUGAAACUUGGCAGAAGAGACCUGGGCAGAUGCCUGAUCACCAAGCCCAGACAUGUUCACCUUGCUCCUAGAUUUGGAGCUUCAACAGGGCAAGCAGCAGCUCCUGUGCAGAACACAUUGGUGUUAUGAGGAGACGUUUUCCACACACAGGAGACUUUGGAGCUGGGUGGAGACGAUUAUUGGAUUUUGAAACUUCUGCAGUUGAUUUUUUUUUCAAGUUUUGUAUGUUAUCUUUUGGAAUCUCACAUAUCUUGAAACUUCAUUUUAUGUUCCAGAUGUGA